CGUCUAUAUACGUAUAGCAUAUCAAUAAGCGGAGGAAAAGAAACUAACAAGGAUUCCCUUAGUAACGGCGAGUGAAGCGGGAAGAGCUCAAAUUUGAAAUCUUCAAGGUUCUACCUUGACGAAUUGUAGUUUAAAGAAGUGUUUUCUGUUAGAGGAGUAGCAAAAGUUCCUUGGAAUGGGACAUCAUAGAGGGUGAGAAUCCCGUAUUUGGUUAUUCUUUCUAGCUUUGUGAUACACUUUCAAAGAGUCGGAUUGUUUGGGAAUGCAGUCCAAAAUGGGUGGUAAAUUUCAUCUAAAGCUAAAUAUUGGCGAGAGACCGAUAGCGAACAAGUACCGUGAGGGAAAGAUGAAAAGAACUUUGAAAAGAGAGUUAAACAGUACGUGAAAUUGUCAAAAGGGAAGCGUUUGACACCAGUGUUGUUUUUCCGAAAAUCAAUUAAGAAGUGGCUUGAUUUUGUGUUGUAUUGACCUUAUCAGCUUUCUUCACUCUUUUUCGAGUCUUUCUUAAUGCACUUUUCGGUUAACAAGUCAACAUCAAUUUCUUUUGUUGUAAAAGGGUAUUUGGAAGGUGGCUUUCUUUUCGGAGAAAGUGUUUAUAGCCUUAUACCUCUACAAUCGGAGAGAUUGAGGUCUGCAGCGUAGAUCCUUCGGGGCUAGAUACACUUGUGCUAAGUUAUAGCCUUUUCAUAGACAACUUGUUGACUAUGUUUAGUCAUGUAGCUUACCCGCUUGUGCUAUUUUACCUACGCUUAGGAUGUUGAGUCAUCACACAUCUCU
rnacentral:rRNA from 1 species